rnacentral:rRNA from 1 species
GACGUAGGGCGCAAGCGUUGUCCGGAUUUAUUGGGCGUAAAGAGCGCGCAGGCGGCUUGGCAAGUCGGGUGUGAAAUCCCGGGGCUCAACCCCGUGACUGCAUUCGAUACUGUCAGGCUAGAGGUAGGUAGGGGAGAUCGGAAUUCCUGGUGUAGCGGUGGAAUGCGCAGAUAUCAGGAGGAACACCGAUGGCGAAGGCAGUUCUCUGGGCCGUAACUGACGCUGAGGAGCGAAAGCGUGGGGGAGCGAACAGG